CUCAUCUUACGUGGGGGUUCCGUUUUGUGGUUAGCGCAUAAAGCAAAAACCGCAUAUAGUCAAAAUUACACUAAGUUGAACGGCGGAUGGAAUCUCCCACACUACAAGGCCUGAGAGGUGAAAAUGAAAAUACAUGAUGGAAGAAAGUGGAGAAGGUCUGUGAUUCAUAUCCAUGUAGCAAAAUGAAUUGACUACCUUAAUACCGCAAAGCAAACCAAUUAGUUACAACUUAAAGAAGCCAAUUCUCAAAUUCCUGCUCCUUCUGGCCUACACAGUGUCUCAAUCUGGGGCUAAGUGAUACACCUGGGCUUAUGGGCCGUCCUUAGGCAUAGGCAGCAAAAGCGGCUACGUAUGGCACCUGAAAAUUUGAGGCACCACCAGCACAGCAG